rnacentral:rRNA from 1 species
UGGGGAAUUUUGGACAAUGGGCGAAAGCCUGAUCCAGCAAUGCCGCGUGUGUGAAGAAGGCCUUCGGGUUGUAAAGCACUUUUGUCCGGAAAGAAAUCCUUGGCUCUAAUACAGUCGGGGGAUGACGGUACCGGAAGAAUAAGCACCGGCUAACUACGUGCCAGCAGCCGCGGUAAUACGUAGGGUGCAAGCGUUAAUCGGAAUUACUGGGCGUAAAGCGUGCGCAGGCGGUUUGCUAAGACCGAUGUGAAAUCCCCGGGCUCAACCUGGGAACUGCAUUGGUGACUGGCAGGCUAGAGUAUGGCAGAGGGAGGUAGAAUUCCACGUGUAGCAGUGAAAUGCGUAGAGAUGUGGAGGAAUACCGAUGGCGAAGGCAGCCCCCUGGGCAAUACUGACGCUCAUGCACGAAAGCGUGGGGAGCAAACAGGAUUAGAUACCCUGGUAGUCCACGCCCUAAAACGAUGUCAACUAGUUGUUGGGGAAUUCAUUUUCCUUGUAACGUAGCUAACGCGUGAAGUUGACCGCUGGGGAGUACGGUCGCAAGAUUAAAACUCAAAGGAAUUGACGGGGUCAUAGCUGUUUCCU